rnacentral:rRNA from 1 species
GACGAACGCUGGCGGCGUGCUUAACACAUGCAAGUCGAACGGAAAGGCCCUGCUUUUGUGGGGUGCUCGAGUGGCGAACGGGUGAGUAACACGUGAGUAACCUGCCCUUGACUUUGGGAUAACUUCAGGAAACUGGGGCUAAUACCGGAUAGGAGCUCCUGCUGCAUGGUGGGGGUUGGAAAGUUUCGGCGGUCGGGGAUGGACUCGCGGCUUAUCAGCUUGUUGGUGGGGUAGUGGCUUACCAAGGCUUUGCCGGGUAGCCGGCCUGAGAGGGUGACCGGCGACAUUGGGACUGAGAUACGGCCCAGACUCCUACGGGAGGCAGCAGUGGGGAGUAUGACACAAUGGGCGGAAGCCUGAUGCAGCAACGCCGCGUGCGGGAUGACGGCCUUCGGGUUGUAAACCGCUGUCGCCUGUGACGAAGCGUGAGUGACGGUAAUGGGUAAAGAAGCACCGGCUAACUACGUG